ACUACCCAAAAAUCAAGAGAGACAGGCAAAUCCAGAGUCGCAGCGGAGAUCAGCUUACCCUGAGCAGGCACCACCACAGCCAUAGCCCAGUAGGAGCACUUCAGUGGCAACUCUGAUGAAUCGCUGAAGGUUGAGUGUGGACGAGGGUGAGAGUGAGAGAUGCCUGGGCGCCACGGUCUUCGGGGGACCCCACACUCUUGUGGGUUUUACUUCUGGGAAUCCCACCAUGCUAUCAUGGUGAAGAGCUGAGAAAGAUCCUCUCGUGUCUUUUCAGGGGAGGGGAAAAGUCACCAUUUUUAAACAGCCUGGAGCAGUCUCCAGCACAAAGUCCUCUCUCCAGGAGAGAAGACCAGAACCUUACCCAGCUCCUGCCCCUCUAGCCUCAUGUCUCACCUAAGGAGGAUAAAGGAAACACCUGUGAACGUCACAGCCCAGGGACGUAAGCCAACCAAAGGACUGAAAUCUACCCAUAAAAUUAUAGAACGUUUCCUCUUCCCCACUCCUCACCACCACACCAACAGGGCCCAGGGUAUAACAGUGCAUCAUGACAGAAAGAGCUGCAAGACACAGAUUCUAUUGGAAAGAGUCUCUAGGAAAAUCCAAGACAACAGGGAGGAGAAAAGCAAGGAAAUUAGAGGAAUUUAAAGCCUCUGGCUUCCACAGCUAUAGCAAACAUUAAACACAGCCCAACUCCCAGCAAGAUGAACCUAAAAUCUUACUCAACACAUCAUGUCUGGCCUUUCAACAAAACAUUACAAAGCAAGAAAAACUACAGUCUGAAGAGACAAAGCAAGCAUCAGAAACAGACUCAGAUAUGAAACAGAUGUUAGAAUUAUCAAAGAAUUUAAAAUAACUGUGAUUAAUACAUUAAGGACUCUAAUGGAAAAAGUAGACAACAUGUAAGAACACGAGCAAUGUAAGCAGAGAGAUAGAAACUCUAAGAAAGAAUCAAAAGGAAAUGCUAGAGAUCAAAAACACUGACAGAAAUGCCUUAGAGGGAUUCCUCAGCUGAGGAAAGAAUCAGUGAGCUUGAAGAUAUAUCAAUAGAAUCUUCCCAAACUGAAAUGCAAAGAGGAAAAAGACUUUAAAAAACACAAAAGAAUAUCCAAGAUCUCAGGGACAAUUUCAAAAGGUAUAACAAAUUUAUAAUUGGAAUACCAGAUGAAGAAGAAAGAGAGAAUGGGCCAGAAGAAAAUAUUGGAAGUAGUAAUGGCCAAGAAUUUCCCAAAAUUAAUCGUAGAUACCAAACCACAGAUUCAGGACACACAGAGAGCACCAAGCAGCAUAAAUACAAAAAAAAAAAACUACACUAGACCCAUCAUAGUCAAACUGCAGAGAACCAAAGGCAAAGAGGAAAUCUUGAAAGAAGCCAGGGGCGGGGACACCUUUCCUAUACAGGAACAGUAAGAGAAUUACACAGACUUCUCAUCAGAAAGCACACAAGGAGAGAAGAGGAGAGUGAAAUAUUUAAAAUGUUGGGGAAAAAACACCAACAACCUAGAAUUCUGUAUCCAGCAAAGCUAUCCUUCAAAAGUUAAGGAGAAAUGCUUUCUAAAACAAACAAAAUUCAUCACCAGUAGAUCUGCCUUGCAAGAAACGUUAAAAGAAGUUCUUCAAAGAGAAAGAAAAUUAUAUAGAAGCGUGGAUCUGCAUAAGGAAAGGAAGAGUGUUGGAGAAGGAAUAAAUGAAGACGCUGGUGACAAGGGGAGAAUCUUGUCACUGAAAAGCCUGUGCCCCAGCCCGCUCCCCACGGCUCCCACUCUGGUGGGAAUUGACGUGAAAUCCCCUCUCGUCGAGGAAGACACUUGCAACACAACAGUGAAAGUCCGCAGGCUCCCGACUAAAUAUCAU
ensembl:lncRNA